rnacentral:rRNA from 1 species
CCUACGGGAGGCUGCAGUGGGGAAUUUUGCGCAAUGCUCGUAAGAGUGACGCAGCGACGCCGCGUGAAUGACGAAGGCCUUCGGGUCGUAAAGUUCUUUCGACAGGGAAGAAAAUGCAUAUAAGUAACUGUGUAUGUAUUGACGGUACCUGUAUAAGCAGCCCCGGCUAACUCCGUGCCAGCAGCUGCGGUAAGACGGAGGGGGCGAGCGUUGUUCGGCGGGACUGGGCGUAAAGAGCACGUAGGCGGUGUUGUAAGUCAUUAGUCAAAGACUAGAGCUCAACUUUAGUAAGGCUAGUGAUACUAUAAUACUAGAGUAUCAGAGAGGAUUGCAGAAUUCCUGGUGGAGCGGUGAAAUGCGUGGAUAUCAGGAGGAAUACCGUUAGCGAAGGCGGCAAUCUGGCUGGAAACUGACGCUGAGGUGCGAAAGCGUGGGUAGCAAACAGGAUUAGAUACCCGAGUAGUC